GAAUUUUGAAUUUUGAAUUUUGAACCGGAUUUGAUUAUGAAAGAAUCUUGUUUUCUGAUGGUUAUCCUUAUUUUUUAAAUUGCAGAGGGAAUACACCGUUUUGCAGCAAAGAGUGUAGACAAGAACAGAUGGAGAUCGAUGAAGCCAGAGAAAAGAAAUUGAAAUCUGGCCGAUCUCUUAGAAAAUCGGAUUCAAAGAGCUCUACACCCAACAAAACUGUUCGGACGGGCAUUGUUACGGUGUCGUAAUUACAUCUUUGCUUCUUCUUUUUUUCUUUUUAUAAAUGAUAAUUGUAUCAUCAUCAAUUUUGAAAAAAAAACGAAAAAACAAGAUCGGGACAAGAAGGGAAAAAGAAAAAGGAAACCUUCAAUGGAAUUUUGUAUUUUCGUUUUAUUAUUGGGUAUGCUGUUUGAGAGGAGUGGAUGUUUAUGGGGGGGAAUCGGAUGUGCAGUUUUCAUUAAUGGAAAAUGUGCAAAGAUUUAUAAUUUCUGGUAGUCUUGAAAAUUUUGAAGCAUUCAAGUUCCAAAGAUCCCUCUUUUAUUCCUUUCCGACCAAUCUGUAAUAACGGGACUACGGGAGAUCAUACCAUUCGAUCUAACAUGUUGUCCCUUUCAUUAAGCAAAUGGAUAUAUAAUUUUUUAAGGGGUAUAAGGGUAAGAAGGGAGAAAAAAACCUGAUUGAUCAGUAUUUGCUUAAUUCAAUGAAUGUGGACAUGGGUGAACAGUAUAUUGAGUAUUGGGCAAUAGCUUUUAAGGGGGAAAAUCAUAUUUUACCGAUUUCCUGUAAAUUUCGGACCAGAGUUGGAGCUGGAAAGAACUUUUUGUUUUAUUCUGUACUGAAUGGACCCUCCCUGAUUGAAUCGUGUCGUUUCCAUGAUGGUUCGAAGGCAUCUCUUCUUUAGCAAAUUACAAAUGGAAUAAAUUACCAUAGCAAUAGACGAAAUUAAAUAUNNNNNNNNNNNNNNNNNNNNNNNNNNNNNNNNNNNNNNNNNNNNNNNNNNNNNNNNNNNNNNNNNNNNNNNNNNNNNNNNNNNNNNNNNNNNNNNNNNNNNNNNNNNNNNNNNNNNNNNNNNNNNNNNNNNNNNNNNNNNNNNNNNNNNNNNUAUCAAUAAUUGGCUUUCUGAGUCCAAAAAAUUGUGGCGAUUCAUCUUUGUUUAAUCAUCAUAAGCCCAAAACAUAGCCCAUUUAUACUCCAUGGAUAUAUGCUUUUGUCCUAAAAGAAAUUGUGACAAUGGAGAAAACCUGGAAAUAGGAAGUUAAUUAAUGGGACAUAAUAGAAAUUAUCGGUCAAGUUUUUGGUAGUCCCUGCACUACUCCAUAUGCACAUGCUAGAAAAGGUUUAUAUAUUGUUGGAAUCUAAAUUCGUUAAUUGUUUGAAUUGAUUAAGUUGAAUCUAAAGUGAUUAUCUACGUUGUUUGAUUUCUUUAAACACAAUAAGUAAUUUCACUAUCUUUUGACCCACAAUAAUAAAAGUGAAUCACGCUUCACUCCUAGUAUAGAGACCUCCCCUUUGUACUUAAAAAUUAAAACUCACCUCUAAACUUUUCUUUUGAGAAUUUAGAUUGUAAGCACAAUCUUUUUGCACUUCAAUUGCACUCAAAAGUACAUUCUUCAAUGAAACAGAUAGUACAUAAAACUAUUCAAGUUUCUCACAUAUAUAGAUGUUUAAGACUUGAUAAUAUACUAGAGAUCAACUACAAUUCAAUCCUUAUUAAAUAGCAAAAUAUAAUAGAUUGAUAAAGUGCAAUGUAAAGUAGAAUCCCUGGAGAUAUGUCUUCAAUGUAAUCCCAAUCUAAUCUCCAUAUUUUAAAGGAUUCGAUUGCUUAAUCCGAUUCAAUCAAAUCUUCAAAAAUUUGUUGCUCCACAAUAUGAAUCUUCAAAUAUGAGCCAAAUACACAUCCAUAAAAUCAUUGAAGUCAUUGCCCAAGUGAUGUGGUUGAAAAGAUUUCCAAUUCCAAGUAUGACAAGUUAUGCUGCCCAAGCCUUCCAUAUUUUGAGCACAAUUGAUAAUUUUUGCUUCACAAGAUAAGUUUUAAUCUAUCUUGGUAUGCUUAAAUCUCAUCAAAUCAAUUAUCUUUAAUAUAAGGAUACACAAGAUUAUAAAGUCAACUCAUAUCUUCUUGGAUUGUAUAUCUCAGUGUACAAGGUAAGUAACAUAAGAAUCCUUGAAAAGUAAUCUUGCUUUAUUCCAUCUUUUCUCUAGUGAUAAACAUAAGAUUGGCUGCAUAAAAUCCUCAAAAAUAGAUAACAAAUCAUCAAAAUAUUUUGAUCAAACAUGCCAACAAAUAAGACAAGUUAUAUGUUUCACGCAACGAUGAUGAAAAUGAUCAUUUCCAUCAACCACUUCAAAAACUUAUCUCAACAUAUAUAUAUAUAUAUAUAUAUAUAUUUUAAAAUUUAACAUCUAAUUACUAUAUUUUAAUUUUGAGAGUAAAAAUCUACCUUCCAUCCAAUUUUGCCAUUAGUUGGUUACCAUCAACAUUUAUAGUUUUUAUGAAAUUGGUGCUUAUUCUUUAAAAAUUAUGUAAAUAAAAAAAAAGGGUUCAUAUUUUUUUAUAAAAAUUAAAAGUUUAAAUUCUUAUGGGUUGUUUUUCAGAUGGAGACCAAUCAUCAAGCUGAUUGUUGAAAACCCAAAGCCCAUCUAUGGUAGCAAUACCAUAAAAUGGCUAUGAAAUUGUGAAUGAAAGAAAAUAAGAAGCAAGCGAGUGAACAUGGAAUAGUGACACAAAGUCAUGUAUUUUUAGGCAUUUCACAUCUUCCAUGGUUGGAGAAUGAGGGUAUAAUGGCUUGGAAUGCAAAUAUGGUGUCAAUCGAGUAGGUUCUCGAGGUUGGCUGAAAAUGAUAGGGCCUUGUAGGCGGAUUAUGGAAGAGCUGCUUCGGUGAUUGCCAUAGGUGAGCUAUUGAAGUAAACUUGUGUUAUGGGAUAAAUUUUUUUUUUUUUUGGUUAUGCCUUUUUAUAUAUACAUCAAACGAGUUUUAAUUGGGCAUUGGCCGAAUGUAAGGCGGGCGAGCAGUGACUUUGACCCUAAUAAAAAAUAAAAUUGUCUUUUAAGUCUUAUUAAAAUUUAAAAAAAUUUAUAAAUUAAUAUAAUGAUAAAAAUAUAUUUUUAUCUCUAAAAAAUUUAUAAUUCAAAAUCGACCCUCUUGAAUUGAUGUUCUGGCUUCGCUGCUACUUUGAAGAUAAUUUUAGUGAAAUUUGAGUAUAAAUUUAUUAUUUCUUGAAAUUAUAUUUUUUGUUGAAAAUAAGAAGAUAUUUAAUUUUUUAUUUUUGGGUUAAUAUAUAUUUGCCUCCUGAACUAUGGUAGCCUCAUAUCAUGAUAUAUGACAAGCACUAAUAAAAAAAUUUAAAAAUAUUUUACCUUUAAAAUGAAUCUGGACAUAUGAUUGUCCAAAUUCAUUUAACUUGGAUAACCAUUUGUUUAAAUUCAUUUUGAACUGAUUUUUUUAGUAAACUUUAUAUGUUUUUAAUUUUUAUAUUAUUAUUUUGAAAUUAAAGAUACAUAAUAUAUUAUUAUUUUGAAAUUAAAGAUACAUAAUAUAUAUAUAUAUAUAUUUUAAAAAUAUAUAAAUUUAUAACUUUUUUAGGUGAAUAUGAACAAAUUAUUGUUCAAAUUUCAACCUGUACAAGUACAAAAAUGUGAUUUUGUGAAGGUUGGUUAAUUAAAGAGACGGAGGGUCAGAAAGGAAUAAGAGGAUAAGCUAAUUAAGAGAGAGAAAUAAUUUGCUUAGAGUAAUUUUAAGGUUUUUAAGAGUUGGUCCGUUCAUCAUUGUUAAAGGAGUAUUUAUAGGAGAGGUUCUAUUGUCUACAAAUGUGAUGUGGUAAGAUAAAUACUAAGUCCCACAAAAUGUAUAAAUGAUAUUCAUGGGCGUGAAGGAUGUGCACCAUGGGAUCCUAUUCUAUUAUGCAUUCAAUCAAUACGAGUUUAUUAUGCCUAAAAAUGCGUGCUAUUGACCUAUUUCCAAUAUUUUAUCAUAACGCUUAUUUUGUAAUAGAAACAAUCCAUCUAGAAUACCCGCAUUGACUAAACUGUCUAGAGAUUUUUGAGUGUAACAUUAGCUUGUAGACAAAUUUUUUGUAGUUGAGUUCAUUGAACCGUAAUAAAUGCACGCUCGUAAAUAUAUGAAAUAAUGUAGAGAAGAGAAUCUUUUGGUGAUUAAAAUACUUAAAAAUAAUAUUGAUGGGUGACGUAAACCCCAUUUAAGUAAUUGAAAAACAAUGUUGCUUACGAGACACACGCACACCCUUCUUUUUAAUUUGAUUUGAUUCCUAUGCAUUAUCAACAGACCACUUUUAUUUAUAUAUUUAUAAAAACAACUUCGGCAGAAAGUAAAAAAGAUAAAACCAAACCGCUUUUACAAACAUUUCCAAUCAACGUCUAACACCUCUCCCAUUUGUUUGGGCUACAUAGUCUUACUGUACUCCCUGUACUACCUGAUUGCACCAACUCAGAAUCCAAGCUCUCACCUCCGUUUGCUUUAUAUAUAGCUGCCAAGCUUUAACGCCCAUCAAACUCACUCUUUUAUUCUCUUCCACCCUUUUUCAGCUACCAGCGCCGCCCUCAGCUCCGGCCAUACUUUACGAAAUUCAACAAGUAGCAAGCAGUUAAUAUGUCGGGUUAUUAUUAUCACUCAGGGUGCCCAGAUCGGUACGGGGCUCACUAUCUGGAUGCCUGCUCCGUUUGCGGCAAAUCGCUUCAUAAUUCCGAUAUUUUCAUGUACAGGUUGGUUUGCUCUUUAGUAUUGAUUUUAAAAUUCGAAUCGUGUUUGAGUAUGAAAUAAUUUUGUUUCCUGAUGGGUAUUUUUUAAAUUGCAGAGGGAAUACACCGUUUUGCAGCAAAGAGUGUAGACAAGAACAGAUGGAGAUGGAUGAAGCCAGAGAAAAGAAGUUGAAAUUUGGUAGAGCACAUAGGAAAUCGGAUUCCAAGACCUCUACACCCAACAAAACUGUUCGGACGGGAACUAUUACGGUGUCGUAGUACAUAUUUGCUUAUUUUUUUCUUAGUAGGGUGAUAAUGGUAUCAUCAAUUUUGAAAAAAAAAACGAGAAACAAGAUAAGGAAAAAGAAAACCUUGAAUGGAAUUUUGUAAUAUCGUUUUUUAUUGGGGCUGACAGUUGAUAAGGGAGGAAGCGGGAGGUAUCAGAUUGUGUAGUUUCCAUCAAUGAAAAAUAUUCAGAGAUCUAUAAUUUCCGGUAUUCCUGAGAAUUGAAAGCUACCUUUUAAUGAUGUGUGAUAACUAAAUUUGAAUGAGAUCGUAACAAGGCAAAGUUUUGUGCUCAUCACGAUAGGGUCUGCUUUAUUAAGCAAAUGAGAAAAAAACAAGAUAUAUCAGUAAUUAGUAAAUGCAGUGAAUGUGUACAUCGUUGAACGGUAUAUUGUCUUGAGCAAAAGCUUUUUUGUCGGAUUGAAUGGACCCCUGCCUCCUACAUACUUUUCACUUGUUUUGUCCCAUUCAGUCAACCCUUUU
rnacentral:lncRNA from 1 species